rnacentral:rRNA from 1 species
UACGGGGGGGGCAAGCGUUGUUCGGAAUUACUGGGCGUAAAGGGCUCGUAGGCGGCCAACUAAGUCAGACGUGAAAUCUCUCGGCUUAACCGGGGAACUGCGUCUGAUACUGGAUGGCUUGAGUUUGGGAGAGGGACGCGGAAUUCCAGGUGUAGCGGUGAAAUGCGUAGAUAUCUGGAGGAACACCGGUGGCGAAGGCGGCGUCCUGGACCAACACUGACACUGAUGAGCGAAAGCCAGGGGAGCAAACGGG